UCUAAUAUGGCAGAAUAGUGCAAUGAAUUUAAGAUUCAUAUAUAAGUUAAACUUUUUUAGAA
rnacentral:tRNA from 1 species